CUUUGAGCUCUGGCUCUCACUACAUUUUGCCUCCUCAUCUGUGAUGGUCCCAGAUCCUUCAGGUGAUAAGUGGAAUACCUUCUGUCAAUAGGUCUCCAGACUAUCUGGGUUAAAAAGAAGCAAGAAGGCUCAAUGAACCAGUGCUUGUGUUAUUUUGCUGAUCCCUCAACUUGUUCGGGAGCAAAGGCCACAAGAAAGAAGUGGAAGACCACAUUGUAAUUCAUCUCUUUACUCCUCAGAGGCUGGUAUGGUCUAUGGACAAGAAUUUCAAAGAAGAAGAUUGUGGUUUCAUAAGUAAAGGGGAUGCUACUCUCGAGCAUAUACUUUUACAUUUGGGGGUGAGGCCCUGACUGAAAACAAAUGACUGUGCAAAGUAGGAAGUAACUGGCAGAGCCAUUAAGGCAGCACUGACCAACACUGAGGCCAACACCCUGACCUUGCUUCCCGUAACAGUCUGAGUGCACCGGCCUGUUGGCUAAUGCAGUGGAUUCAAGCUUUCCCCCUUCAGCCGGGGUCUUGAAUGACCACAGUUGAUGCAACAGUGGCUCUGAAGAGCUAAUGGACAGAAGGCAGCUCACUAAACUCUUUGCUUUUAUCGAUUGCAGGCUGCACGCUCGCUCCCCCCUCCCCUAAAGAUUCUGACUCAGGUGUUUAAUCAUACCACAGAACGUACUCCAUCUCAUUUGAUGUCAGAGACUAAACAGGCCUGGGCCAGGAUGCUAGUUGGAUGGGAGAGAGUCUCAUCCAGUAGAUCUGGGAUGGGACUCUUUCAGGCAUUAUAUGUUCUUCGUGAUU